ACGUAGGGGGCUAGCGUUAUCCGGAAUUACUGGGCGUAAAGGGUGCGUAGGUGGUUUCUUAAGUCAGAGGUGAAAGGCUACGGCUCAACCGUAGUAAGCCUUUGAAACUGAGAAACUUGAGUGCAGGAGAGGAGAGUAGAAUUCCUAGUGUAGCGGUGAAAUGCGUAGAUAUUAGGAGGAAUACCAGUUGCGAAGGCGGCUCUCUGGACUGUAACUGACACUGAGGCACGAAAGCGUGGGGAGCAAACAG
rnacentral:rRNA from 1 species